UUCAAUACAGUUCAAACAUUAACUCUGAUCAUCAUGCUGUCUUUGCUCACAUCUGGAUUUACUCUGCUGGUUCUGCUUAUAGGAACAGGUGUAAACUGUCAACAACUCACUGCAGCAAAGACUGAGGAGUUCACUUUAGAGGGCGACUCUGUUACUCUGUCCUGCAGUUACAAGAAAGAUUCAGCUCAUUUUUUGUUCUGGUAUCGACAAUAUCCUGGAAAACCUCCAGAGUUCCUGAAGUCCCACUCACCUUCAGGUGGAGAAGAACAUCUGGACAGAAUGAAAUUUGAAGGAACCAAAGAAGAAAUGAAGAUGACCAUCUCCUCUGCUGCAAUGGCAGACUCUGCUGUGUACUACUGUGCUCUGCAGCCCACAGUGACAGGAAACACCAGAACUCUGUACAAGAACCUGCAAUACUCCACAACAUCCACUAGAGGGCCUCACACGCUGUUAACCCACUGGAUGCUGAUUCAGUAGACUGAUGACAAAGACAACAGAGACAAGAAACAGUAAAGAUCAGAGACAGAGCUGCUGUGGGAGCAGAAAACUCUCUGAUUGGUUGGGUUUAGGCCACGCCCACUGAACUUUAGCUCAAUCAAUGCCAUUAUCUGUUCCUCCUUCUACUGAACAUUGUUCAUCUGCUGUGUGGCUUGAAGGACUCCAAAGACAUGUUGC